AUUGAACGCUGGCGGCAUGCUUUACACUUGCAAGUCGAACGGUAACAGGUUAAGCUGACGAGUGGCGAACGGGGGAGUAAUGCAUCGGAACGUGCCCGAUCGUGGGGGAUAACGAAGCGAAAGCUGCGCUAAUACCGCAUAAGAUCUGAGGAUGAAAGGGGGGGACCGUAAGGCCCCGCGCGAGCGGAGCGGAGGAUGUCAGAUUAGGUAGUUGGUGGGGUAAAGGCUCACUAAGCCAACGAUUUGUAGCUGGUCUGAGAGGACGACCAGCCACACUGGGACUGAGAAACGGCCCAGACUCCUACGGGAGGCAGCAGUGGGGAAUUUUGGACAAUGGGCGAAAGCCUGAUCCAGCAAUGCCGCGUGCAGGAAGAAGUCCUUCGGGUUGUAAACUGCUUUUGUACGGAGCGAAAAGGCUCUCUCUAAUACAGGUGGCUCAUGACGGUACCGUAAGAAUAAGCACCGGCUAACUACGUGCCAGCAGCCGCCGCAGUAA
rnacentral:rRNA from 1 species